GUGGGGGAUAUUGCACAAUGGGGGAAACCCUGAUGCAGCGACGCCGCGUGAAGGAAGAAGUAUUUCGGUAUGUAAACUUCUAUCAGCAGGGAAGAAAAUGACGGUACCUGACUAAGAAGCACCGGCUAAAUACGUGCCAGCAGCCGCGGUAAUACGUAUGGUGCAAGCGUUAUCCGGAAUUACUGGGUGUAAAGGGAGCGUAGGCGGAUAGGUAAGUCAGAUGUGAAAGACCGGGGCUCAACCCCGGGGCUGCAUUUGAAACUAUCUAACUAGAGUACAGGAGAGGUAAGCGGAAUUCCUAGUGUAGCGGUGAAAUGCGUAGAUAUUAGGAGGAACAUCGGUGGCGAAGGCGGCUUACUGGACUGAAACUGACGCUGAGGCUCGAAAGCGUGGGGAGCAAACAGGAUUAGAAACCCUAGUAGUCC
rnacentral:rRNA from 1 species